rnacentral:tRNA from 1 species
GGUGGCACAGUGGUUAAAGCAUUUGGCUGCUAACCAAAAGUUCUGUGAUUCGAAUCCACCACC